UACGAAGGGGGCUAGCGUUGCUCGGAAUUACUGGGCGUAAAGGGCGCGUAGGCGGCCUGUUAAGUCGAACGUGAAAUCCCCGGGCUCAACCCGGGAACUGCGUCCGAUACUGGCAGGCUUGAAUCCGGGAGAGGGAUGCGGAAUUCCAGGUGUAGCGGUGAAAUGCGUAGAUAUCUGGAGGAACACCGGUGGCGAAGGCGGCAUCCUGGACCGGUAUUGACGCUGAGGCGCGAAAGCCAGGGGAGCAAAGCAG
rnacentral:rRNA from 1 species